CAGCGCCUCACCCCAAAGGGCGGGACCUGGGCGAUAAGCCUCGUCACCGCCGUGCUUUACUGAGCACCUACUCUGUGACCCAUGUCCUGCGUUAUCUCGCUAACCUUCCCUGUAACCAACAAGGAACGUUUGAACAUCUUCCUUUCCUGGCAAACGAGUGGACGUCCCGAGGGUCCCAGCUUCCGGGAGGCUGCUGGGAUGCAGACCUGGGAGGAGCGUCGGGGGUGCAGGCGGACAGGCAGCGUUCUCUGGGAAGUGGAGGGACUCACGUUCUUUGAGGGCUAGUUGCGUGUGGUCACGUGGUCAGCGUUUCUCAUCCGUGGUCUCAUCUUUAUCGCUGCCCCCGCGGAUCAGGUUUAUUGGUCCCACUUCAGGAGCAAGAAACUGGAACCCGGAGAUAUCAGGCCACUAAAGUGCCAUUUACUUGGCCCUGAACUUUAGACAUCAACUAAAGUGAAGCAUCCAUCAUGUCUAAAGAGUCUGCAGGAACAGAAAAAAUUCCUAAUGGAAAUAGGUACUCAACCAUUGUUCAACUCCACUAAGGAGCUGUAUGAAACAGAGGGAACAGUUCAAACCUACAGCAGAAGUUAUUCAAAUCAGCACAAACAGCCUCCCUGAGUUUCACUGGACCCGUGGCCAACCAGCUAGAGGCUACACAAGUCUCCCAUGAACCUAAAUGUGGCCCUAUGCUUCUGUCUGGAAGAUGGAAGCACAAGAAAUUUGCUCAAGUUUCAGGUCCUUAAGGUGGAAGCUUGUUGCCCUUAUUACCUCUUCUUUCUUCUGCCCCACGGGCUGCAACUUGCACCUGGUGUUGGUAAGUCAGCUUUGACUGAGUGGACAAAAGCAGCAACCUGGAGAUGAUGGAGGAUCAAUAUGGAAGAAGUCUGGGCUCCCCCACGUCCUGGCGAAGCAUCUGCACCUACCCACCCCUUGCUAGACACCUCCCUGGGUGCAUUUUGUGUGUAUGAG